AUUGAACGCUGGCGGCAGGCCUAACACAUGCAAGUCGAACGGUAACAGGAAGCAGCUUGCUGCUUUGCUGACGAGUGGCGGACGGGUGAGUAAUGUCUGGGAAACUGCCCGAUGGAGGGGGAUAACUACUGGAAACGGUAGCUAAUACCGCAUAACGUCGCAAGACCAAAGAGGGGGACCUUAGGGCCUCUUGCCAUCGGAUGUGCCCAGAUGGGAUUAGCUAGUAGGUGGGGUAACGGCUCACCUAGGCGACGAUCCCUAGCUGGUCUGAGAGGAUGACCAGCCAAACUGGAACUGAGACACGGUCCAGACUCCUACGGGAGGCAGCAGUGGGGAAUAUUGCACAAUGGGCGCAAGCCUGAUGCAGCCAUGCCGCGUGUAUGAAGAAGGCCUUCGGGUUGUAAAGUACUUUCAGCGGGGAGGAAGGGAGUAAAGUUAAUACCUUUGCUCAUUGACGUUACCCGCAGAAGAAGCACCGGCUAACUCCGUG
rnacentral:rRNA from 1 species